GCCUGGGAGGGGCAAUGGGAGACCAUCACACAAUACUCAUUCACACAUUUCCAAGAUAAUUGACUAAAGAUGCAGUUACUUUCCUAAUGAAGACACUAAUGUAAACCAGCUAAAACCAUUCCUGGAAGCACAUUCCUGGGCCAGGGAUGUAAAUAACUCCUAACUAUGAAUAAUCAGAGUAGACACCACCUAGUAAUUCUAAAAUAGUUUGACAUCUCUACCUGCUGAGAAAAAGAAAAAUGAAGAACCCUUGUACACAAUCUCAAGUAUUGUGAGACACCAAGGAGAAUAUUCAACUCCCUAAAAUGUUACUUUAAGGGGAAAAAAACUUCACGGCCGUUUGUAGAUGUGUACUACCUUCAGGAUUCAUAACUGCAGUCUCCUCAAGGUUAUUAAACUAAUAAUAAACAAUGCUAUAGAUAACACUCAAAAUAUUUAUUAACGAUAUUAAUAUAUGAUUUGAAAUUAUUUUGGAGUUAAAGAUUUUUUGGUAGAAGACAUAAGAAGUGUCAAUGGACCCCAUGCUUUGGGCAGUAGGGCUGCGUAUGAAUAGGUAUGAUGGUUUUUCUUUUUGGCUGCACACUUCUUAGUAUUAUGGAUUUUUGGGGUGUUUUAAGUUCAGAAGAAUACAUUUGUGUGUUGGGAUGUGUUUAGCCCUGUGUUGGGGGUGAGGGGAUUUGACUGGCAUAGGUGCUGUGUGACAAGCACAUGGUAAAAUAUGGUUAAUGGAUCCUUAUGAGCUAAGUAAGAAUCAAGAUUUUUUUUUUCUCCCUUUAGCUACUUAAAACUAGAAAUAAUAGGCGUGUGUUGCUCUUAUUAUUUGUAUCUUUGUACAUGAGGGGUUCUGUAGAUAUGUAUAAGAGGGUCAGAGAGUGCUCAGGAGGCCUGAGUCAUAUUGAGAGCUACUUUACCAAGUGCCAGAGAGACAGCUCAAUGGUUCGACCCAUUAAGGGUUUAACGCUUUGAUUUGAGGAGAUCAUAAAGCUUUAUAUGUUCUAUAUUGGGCCUUGUGCAAAUCUCUCACAAACAGUGCCAUUGUUAGAUGCUAACAAUCUUUCGUGGUAUAUUAUAUAUAUAUAUUUCUGCAUGAACACCUUCUUUGUCAUAGUGAGCACCUUAAACUGUUCAUGUGUUCUCUACUCUACAAUGCUUCAAUCUAGUAGAGCUUCCAUGGACUGGAUCCUGUUUAGACUCCAUAAGAACAGUAAGUAUAGCUUUAGUGUAUCAUAUGUUUGUGCGCAUUAUGAUUUACAUUACAAUUUAUCUAAUCUAUUAUCUCAGAAAUAUUUUUGUAAUUAGCAAUCUUUUUAUAUGCUUUCUAUUAAUUUGUCUAUAAUUUAUCAAUGUAUUACAUUCUGUUUGCUUUUAUUCAAUCUUGUGUCUAUAUUUGUAUCUCUAUAAUUAAUUUAUUAGCGUUUGAUUUUUUAACAUUGUUUUUGUUAUAUUUUUAUGUGCUGUAUAUUUACACACAAAUUACCUGUAUGUAUAAAGAUAUUGAAUAGAUCUGAAUAAAUAGAGCAUGUUUUAUGAGCUUUUCACCAGUCCUUUAUUUUUUAAUUGAUAAUAUCUGAGAGGCUCAAAGUUUGUGUGUAAUAAGUUAAGAAUGUGUUUUAUUACUAUAAAAAGCAUAUAAACAAAGAGGUAGAGUACAAGCAACUGGUCCUUUCUAGUACUAUAUUCUUCAUGAUGGAUUGUCACUGGGUUUUAAUACUAGGUACUAGUUAUUUUAAUGACUAUUCAUGGCAUGAGUUCAAUCCAACAAACAAAAAAUGAAGGAGGCUAUUGAUAUCCAAGGACACAUCUUUAAAAUUCUGUACCACCAAAGAGAAUGAAUAAAUUAUAAGAAAAUAUAAUGAAAAGAAUACAGUUCUGCCGUCAGCUCAAGUCAAGCACUGACUUUGCUUCUUUUCUCUUUUUCUUGAGAACUGCACAUUGUCUUAAGAAAAGGGUUUUGGCAGCUUCUAGGGAAACUGGUACAAAGUUGCAUCCUUUCCUAAAUACUCAGGGCAUCAAGGAGUUUUCAGGUGUAAUGCAGAAAGUUGGUAGUUUGUAUAUAGAAAAACUGUUGUUAGAGGAAGAGACUUAUAAACUAUUAUUAGUAUUUGUUUGCUGAUGUGAUUACACUUCUGUUAUCGGUUCCAAAAUUAGAAUAAUUUAUUGAGGAAAGGAAUUUAAGAGUUUAAAAGAAUAAAAAUAAUAUAUGAAAUUUUAUCAAGCCCGCUAUCUGGUAUGUUAGCAGCUACAAAUCUGAACAGUACUUGAUAAUCCUUUUAUUGUGUAUUCUAGAAUUUGGUUAGUGCCAUUCUGUUUUAAUAAACACAGAUUUGCUAGGCAAGAUAGAACUAGUUAAUCACACAGUGCAGCCAAUCCAAGUCUAUGCUACUUUUCUUUCUUUACAAAUAUCUACACACAAAAUUGUCUACUUUUAAACAUUUGCAUGAUAUGAUAGACUCAAUUUUGUCAUUCUAUAGUUUAAAAGUAAUUCCAUAAUGUAUAUAUGUUGGAAUACAAGACACUAAGUACUGUAUUAUGUAAUAUACCUGGAAUUAUACUGCUACUAAUUCCUUUCUGUUUCUCUUUUUUUUUUUUCUUUCUUUUCUCUUUCCCCUUUUUUUUUUUAUUUCUUUUUGUUUCAUUUUCUUUCUCCCUUUCUUUUCAGAUCUAUACAUUUAUUUUGCUUAUGUAUUAAUAUAUAGCAUCAACAUUUCCCACAGCAGUGUUUAGAGAUUGUCAUCACUCUAUCAUCUCAUAUCUGUCUAUCUAAUCUAUUUGAUCUAUCUCUCUCUCUGCCUAUCUUGUAUCUAUGAUCUCAUUGCUAUCUAUCUAUAUAAUUCAAUCGAUCUCUCAUCUAUCUUGUCCACUUGCUAUCACUAAUAUCAGUUUCUUAGCAGAUACAUUUUCAAGUAAUUAAACCCAAUUUCAGAAAUGUAGUCAUUGCACUAGAUGUAAUUGUUCAGCGAUUACAGAGAGAUACUCCAAAUUCCAAAUGGAGCUUUUGGUCUAAUUAUGUUAUUAUAAUUGGAAAAUGAAAAUAAAGGCAAUGCCGCAAUUAAACAUGCUCCUGAGCAGUGUGGUGAAUAGAUGUAAAGUCUUGGGUAAUCACUAAGCAAACCUUUUGCCUAUGGUAAGGGAUGCAUUGUGUAGUCAUGGAAACCUUACAUUUUCUAAAAAUGGCUACUGCCUUCAUUUAACUAGUUUAGUCAUGUCAGAUGGUUAGUUCCUGCAAGGUAUCCCUGGCUAAUAGGUAUGGAAAUGAACUGGGGAAAAAUGGAUUUAAGGUUUUUGAAGGGGUAAACAAUGAAACAUCACUUAAAAUUGUUAGAAUGUUUAAAAUUUACUGCUCUUUUUAAUGCUUUGGAAUAAUUUUAUCUAAUAACUGUUCCCGCAAUAGAUCUUUAAAAAUGUAAAAGAGAAUGAAGAGAAAGAACUUCUACAAUAACUUAAUUUUGGGCUUAAAUACUUUCUUUACUUCUGAUCUCCUCAACAGUCUAAUCAUUUAUAAAAUUACAUUCGAGGUACCCACUCAUUCAUACUAAUUAAAGUACACAACCAUGUCCAGGAAUUGUUUUUUUUUGUUGUUGUUUCAUCUAGUUGCAAGGCUUAAAAUAACCCUUUGUCACUUUUUUUUCCCACAGGUUAAAUGGACCUUUAAAGUGUUUUUUUUUUCCCUAAAAAGUAAAUGGCUGUUAAUGUUUUAUAGCAGUGUUCCCAAACUGUGGCUCUCCAGCUUCUGUAAAAUUACAACUCUCAUCAUACCCUGGCUGUCAUGAUGGGAGUUGUAGUAAUGCACCAUCUGCAGAGCCACAGGUUAAGGAGCAUUGGUUUACAGUUUUACUAGUGGGUAGGUCUAACGUAUCGGGGAGCAUUAACAAUAGUUGCUGAUUUUCUAUUUUUUUUUAGGUAGAAAAUAGUGCAGUCAUAUGCACUAUAAUCUCUCCACCCAGUGUCUUCUCACCAGCACACACCAGUGUUCACUUUAGGCCAUGGUGAAGACUACAUUUGCUCUUGGCCAUCUGGUAACACUACAUGUGUCAAGAGCUACUUAAAUCAUGUUGCUAGCCGGGGUUCUACAUAACAAAUGCUUUAUUUGUGCAUAUAUUUUGUGUAUAUUCUUUUCUUUUGUGCAAAGUUGACCCCCAGCCUUCAAAGCUUAUCCUCUCUAUCGUACUUGGACAUGAUGCGUACUGACCAGUAGAGGUAAUCCUUUAGUAAAUAGGGGCAUUAUUAACUAUCUAAAUUAUCUAGAUUUGUAAAAUUGUUAAUUGAUUGAAUAGUAGAUAAUAAUUUACCACCUGGCCAUCUCAUUUCACACACAAACACACACACGAACACAUAUAUGUGUAAAUAUAUAUAAUUUUUAUUUAUUUUAGAUCUGAAUAUUACCUAUACUCAUACCAAUCAACUUAUGUAUGAACAAUAAGCUAAACAAAUGUAAAGGAGUGACUGCUAUGUGUGUCAGUAUUAAAAGAUGAAUGUGGCACUUCUUAAUGUAUACAUUACAUUAUUUGUAAUCACUGCUAACAUUACAAGCUAUAAAAUCGUAUAAAACCCCCACAGCUGUAUUCAUCCUUUAUUACUCAUUAUUCUUAGCCAAGCCUAUUCUACUAUAUAGCAAUGGCCUUGGUACCAUUAUACCAUUUGUUACCGAAUGACUAUUUAUUCAUCGUGUAUUGUUUUGUAGUCACAAAAAUGUAAUUAAUGAAAUAAAACUAACUUUAUCAAAAUUAACAUGAUUUACUCUUUAAAUUUGGUCUUUAUUACAUUUUUGCAUUUUUAUUGUGCUUGUGUUUUAGAAUUAGACAAUUCUAAUUGAUAUCAAUAAAGUAUAUCAUUAUAAAGUGACUCAUAUACUUUGUGAAAAAUGCAUUAAAUGAUACAUAUAUUAACCCAUUGUAUUUCAAUAAUAUUUGAAUAUAAUAAUUCUAUUAUGCUGUAACAUCUAUCUAUUGAUCUAUCUUUCUAUCAUCUAUCUAUAUCUGUCUAUCCUUAUUGAACUACUUUUCAAAUAUUAUGGGGGGAAUAUAUCAUCGCUUGUAUGCUAACUUUUCCUGUG